CCCUUAUAUCACACAAAGGAAUUUAGCAUUUUAUUAGUGCCAAAUUUUUUUUUUUUUUUUUUUUUUUACUUUGUAUUAUUUUAAUUUUAAAUUAGUUCAUACCCAUUUACUGAUUUUUUUUUUAUGGGAAAAAAAUACCAUAAUCUAUAUAUAUAUGCAUAUAUAUAUUUAAAAAAAACCAAAACAAAAAAGUUUUACUUUUAAUAAAAAAAUGAAAUAUGCGAGUGUGUAUAAAAGGUAUAAGCUAUUUUUUACAUAAUUUUAGAAAAGAAAAUUUUCGUAAGAACAUAAUAAAAUUGUAAGAUACAUUUUACAUUAUACAUGAACGGUUAAAUUGUAUACACAAGCGUAUGUAUAAUUAUAUUAACAUAGAUUUUUGUAAAUAAACUUAAAUAAGAAAAAACAAUAAUUCAAUAUUAAUUAUAGUAUUUUUUAUAAUUAAAUUUUUUAAAAUUUAAAGAUUGUGUUGUUAGCAUGGAUCGCAUAAGUGAUUCCAAUAUGAACAAUAAUAUAAAAAGAGCUUUGGUUUCCGAUACAGGUCUUUUAUCUAUUCACUUUUGGGCUCCAACAUUUAAAUGGUCUAUAAGCAUUGCAAAUAUUGUUGAUAUUAAUAGAAGCCCUGACUUGUUAUCCUUUCCACAGCAACUUGCUAUAUUCCUCACUGGAGUGUUAUUUGCUCGCUUCGCUUAUAAAAUCAAACCAAGGAAUAUGAAUCUGCUAACAAUUAACCUAUUUAUGAGUAUGACAGCGAUGUAUCAAAUCGGACGUAUUGCUAUUUAUAAAUAUGACCAAACUGAAAAAAGUAAAGAUGAAAAUAAUAGCACGCCAGUAACAACUGAGAAAUUAAGUUUGCUUAGAAAAUAAAAAAACUGAAAAAUAAAAAAAAUUAAUAUAUUUAUUUGCA
rnacentral:lncRNA from 1 species